AAUCGGGAACAGCAGAGGAAACGCCAACAGGAUCAGGAAUGGGGUCAACCAGAUCGAGAACGGGGCCAACUGGAUCAAGAACCAGGUCAACCACAUCAAGAACAGCAGAGUAGAUGUCAACGGGAUCAAGAACGGGGUCAACCAGAUCGAGAACGGGGUCGACCAGAUCGAAAGCAGCGUCAACUGGAUCAAGAACAGCAGCAGAAACAUCAAUGGGAUCAAGAACGGGGUCGACAGCGUCAACCAGAACGGGAACGGGGUCAAGUGGAUCAAGAACGGGGUCAACCAGAUCAAGAACAGGGUCAAGCAGAUCAAGAACAGCAAAGGAAAUGUCAACUGGAUCAGAAAUGGUGUCAACGGGAUCAAGAGCGGGGUCAACCAGAUCGAGAACAGCACAGGAAACGUCACCGGGAUCAAGAACGGGGUCAACCGGAUCGAGAAUGGGGUCAAAUGGAUCGAGAACGAGGUCAACCAGAUCCAGAACAGCAGAGGAAACGUCAACAGGAUGAGGAACGGGGUCAAGCGGAUCGAGAACGGGGUCAAGCAAAUCAACAACAGGAAAGGAAACGUCAACUGGAUCAGGAACGGUGUCAAGCUGAUCGAGAACGGGGUCAACUGGAACAAGAAUGGAGUCAACCACAUCGAGAACAGGGGCAGAAACGCCAACGGGAUCAAGAAUGCGGUCAACCAAAUCGAGAACCGUGUCAGUCCAAACGAGCAUGCCGUCAAUUGGAUCUAGAACGGUGUCAACCAGAUCAAGAACGGAGUCAACGCGAUCGAGAACAGCAGCGGAAACGCCAUCGGGAUGGAGAACAGCGUCAACGGGAUCAAGAAUGGGGUCGGCAACGUCAAGCGGGUGAAGAGCGGUGUCAACAAGGCCAGGAACGGUGUCAACCGGAUCGAGAACAGGGGCGGAAACAUCAACGGGAUCGAGAACGGCGUCAAGCAGAUGAAGAACAGCAUCGACGGGAUCAAGAACGGGGUCGGCAGCGUCAACUGGAGCGAGAACGGGGUCAGCAGGAUGGAGAACACAGCCAACAACAUCAACAGGAUCAAGAACGUUGUCAGCAGUGUCAGGUGGAUCGAGAACAUGAUCAACAGGAGCGAGAACAUCAACAAGAUCGAGAACAUUGUCAAUGCUGUCAAUGGGGUGGAGAACAUUGUCAGCUGUGUGAGCUGGAUCGAGAACGCUGUCAAGAACAUUGUCAAGAACAUCACCGGGAUUGGAAAUGUUGUCAGGCGGACCAAGAACGUUGGCAACGGGAUGGAGAACGUUGCCAGCAGUGUCACCAGCAUCGAGAAUGCUGUGGACAGCAUCAAAAGGAUCAAGAACGUUGUCAAUGCUGUCAACUGGGUCAAGAACGUUGUCAGCGGCGUCAAUGCAAUCCAAAGCAAGGUCAACAAUAUCGAGAACGGGGUCGGCAGUGUCACUGGGAUCAAGAACGAUGCCAACCGGAUCGAGAACGAUGCCAACCGGAUCAAGAACAGUGUCAGCAGUGUCAAUUGCAUCAACAACAACGUCACCAGGAUCGGGAACGGCGCCAACCAGAUCGAGAACCGCAUCAGCUGAACCGAGAACGGCAUCAGCAGCGUCAACUGCAUCAAAAACAACGUCACCAGGAUCGGGAACGGCGCCAACCAGAUCGAGAACCACGUCAACCGCAUCAAGAACAGCGUCAGCAGCAUCAAUUGCAUCAAGAAUGUCGCCGGGAUCAAGAACAGCAUCAACCAGAUCGAGAACCACGUCAACCACAUCAAGAACAACGGCGCCAGCCAGAUCGAGAACCGCAUCAAGUGGAUCAAGAACCGUGCCAGCCGGAUGGAGAACAAUGUCAACCGGACCAAGAACGAUGUCAACCAGGGGAGGCGUUGCUGCGCACUCUGGGGGGGGUGGCCGGGACCCCCUUUGGUGUGGGGCUGCUGACCCACAUGUUGCGCUGCGGGGCCCCCCCCGCACGCCUCGCCUGCGCCACCGCCCUGCCCCUCUUGGCCAGGAGCUGCCCCCCACUGCGGGCGCUGCUGUGGGAUCCACUGAGCCCCAUAGCGCCCCAUAGAGACCCAUAGCGCCCCAUGGAGCCCUACAGAGACCCAUAGAGGCCCCACAGCAUCCCCUAGAGACCCGUAGUGCCCCAUAGAGACCCAUAGUGCCCCAUAGGGACCCAUAGCGCCCUAUAGAAACCCCGUAAUGCUUCACUGAG
rnacentral:lncRNA from 1 species